GCGGGGAUGCCGGAGCGGUCAAACGGGCUAGGCUUAGGACCUAGUGGCUUAGUGCCUACGAGAGUUCAAAUCUUUCUCCCCGCA
rnacentral:tRNA from 1 species